rnacentral:rRNA from 1 species
CCGGCACGGGUGAGUAACACGUAUCCAACCUGCCGUCUACUCUUGGCCAGCCUUCUGAAAGGAAGAUUAAUCCAGGAUGGCAUCAUGAGUUCACAUGUCCGCAUGAUUAAAGGUAUUUUCCGGUAGACGAUGGGGAUGCGUUCCAUUAGAUAGUAGGCGGGGUAACGGCCCACCUAGUCAACGAUGGAUAGGGGUUCUGAGGGGAAGGUCCCCCACACUGGUACUGAGACACGGACCAG